GGAGCAUUUCAUCUUGGUCAAGGAAGCAGCACUUAAUGUUUACUGAGAGGAAAUCGAUGCCGGAUGAAUAUCGCAAAUGGGAGCUGCUGCCUGAAAGGACACCAUCGCUCUUCCAAAGGACCUUGCACUCGGGGUUAUGGCUUCAAGCUUCUUCUCGGGUAAAGGACAGAAGAAAUCAGGUUCGAAUAUUAUUUUGCCCUUGUUUUCAUCUAUUAAUGGGUCUGGCUUUAUUUCACUGCAGACCAGGAGGAGCCGUACAGGAAGGCUGGGUUCAAAAUGCUGAGUUUACACACCUCCAUCACCUGAACUUGUUCCUGUGGUUGCCCGUGAGGCCAAAUGGGAGGUGGCAGCUCAUGUCCUCCAUAUGUGGGUACAUCAUUCCUCCAGGAAAAGUUGCCAUCUUCCAUUCCCUGGAGCUCUUUUAGAGAGUAAAUAGUUGUCAGAUGUGUAAAUAUUUGGUGUCCAGUGAGCCAAGUCUGUUGUUUGAAAUGUUUGGAUCAAUUAGAGAGUAAUGUAAAGUGAAGCAGAGGUGGGAAUGGGGAUCCAGGCACCCAGAUAUGCUGCGCUGCAGCCCUGGAGCUGAAGUAGCCAGCAGGGGUGUGCUGGGAGCCAUCCAUGCCCCAUGGGCAUGUCUCCUCCUGGCAGCACUCCAGCUGACACUUGAAUCCUUCUGAGAUGGGGAAAUCCACCAAACAGGUCCUCAGGCUGCUACUCCAUUUCCUUCUGGAAAGGUGAAGGGUGAAGGGAGCUCAGCACCCAGGGGCUGCCUCGAGGUGCUGAAAGCUACAUACAUGUGGGAGAAAAAGCACAGAUCGCUCAUUUCUGCAGGAGAUGGCCGUGUCUACCUGUGUCCUUGGACUCUUCUCUAGUUUAUAAAAUAAAAUAAACCACAUUUUUUAACUCUUGAAAUGGUCUCUCCCAGUGAUUAGAAAAUCCAGGAAGGAAAUCGGCAGAGGGAGCCCUUUGGACAGCCCCAAGUCUUUGGACAGUACUGCCAGAAGGCAGCGAGGAGCUGUGGGGCUCACACCGAGCACAUCCCUGAGUGGGGAAAUGCACUGAACAUCACUCUUGGGAAUACUGAAAAGAAUGAGGGAUCUGUGCUUCCUUCCCUGGAUUUUGCGAGGCAUUGCCCAAGCGACCAUCACCCACAGAACAUGAGCCAGCAGCACAUCCCAACCACACCAGCAAUAGCUUUUUCACCAGCAGAGCAAAGAAAACAAGCCCCAGAAGCUCCGUCCCAGCCAGCCCACUUGCUUUCUCACCUUAAACCUACGCGUUAAACCCAGGAGCAAAUAGAGGGUUCACAGGAAUUAAUGGCAAAACCCCCCCAGAGGCUGCAGACAAGUAAGAGCUGCUUGUGGGAAAGGCACGUGAAAUCCUACCACCAUGACAGAGUUUAGGGAGAGAACAUGACAUGUUUUAGUGCAUUAGAUGUUGGCUGGUUUAUUUUCAGAGGUGCAAAACGCUCCUGCCACUCGGGGUACACGGUGUGUCUGCAGUGGGAGAGAACAGAAUAGCAUUAAUAAUUUCUCCAAGACAAUUAAUUAGACUCUUUCCCAAGGAUAAAGCUUAAUCUAAUUUCUGCUGUUAUACUUUGUCUUCAUAAAAGUCUGAAGAAAUGAAUGAGCUUUAUAGCACCCUCGCAUGACAGAAACCUUGGGCUUUCUUGUGAAAAAUGAGGGACUGAGCAAAACUGCCAGCACUUGUGAUCUUUCUAUCAGACCUGAAAAGUUCCCUUUUAUUCUUGAAAUCCCUCCUUUUAUCCCAGUUUUGGCUUUUAUUCUGUUUUUAACAAGCAAACUUUGAGCCUUGGUCAAAGUCUGAAAUAUGAACUGCAGAGACUCAAAACCCCAGCAGCAAAUAAACAGAGAGAAGAUGGUUGUUUUAAGCGGAUCUCAUGAUCUUUGAACAGUUGAUGUUGGCAAUACUGAGCACGCUGCAGAAAUGAGGGGCCUUCCACGGAGAGCACUCCAAUAGCAAUCCACAGGUCCUGAGGCCAUUACAAAAAUCAGAAAGAGAAAACAUUUGUUAGGCCUAGAUAGGAAAUGUAAUCCGGGUUUAUAGCUGAUUUUAUCUAGCUCACUAAAGAGCUUGGCUCUGGAGUUUGAGCGGGUUGGGCUCAGUCGUCCCCAAGCAAAGAGUACUGUUUGUGUCAUAAACCAAAGUAACUUUAUUUGCUAUAUGUUUUAUAGGCUGCCAUGACGCAUCACCAGGGCUUGUGUCGCUGCAGCACAAAUGUUUCCAAAGUCUCCUUAGCCACCAGAGACGAAGAUCACAACAGGGUGUUUACCUUGGGUGUGUUGACAUGCUGAUGCUUCAAUUCAGGUCAAAAGCUACACAUCAGGUUCUCACUGCAACAUUCACCCCAAGCAAUUUGUGUAGGCUGCAAAGCAUUCCUGUUCACUUUUGGGAGCACGAAAUCCUUAAGUAUUUGCACGACACCCAUAGCGUGCUUGUACUUUGUGCCUGCUCUCUACCCGUUUUCCCUAUCUGAUCCUCUGUCUCAGUGAAAACACUGUCCCAGAGUUUCCUGCCGUUGAAAGUUACAUGUCACACCAAUGAGAAGUGGUGCUGAGCCUGUGUAAACACCUGAUGUGGCAGAACUAACCUUCAGGAAGACCCAACCUCAAGAAUGAGACAGCAAAAAAAAACCCCCUCCCAGCUUUCCCUUCUGCCUGCACGGUUGAGGAAGGACAGUUUCUGCUUCAGAGGCACUGAGUAGUGUUUUCACUGGGCUGGUGGCGGAGGGAAACCAUCAUGGGACCAAGCUGAGUCACCAGCGUCUGACGUGAUGUGUCCAGAGCAUCCUGCACCUCUCCAGAAGCAUCUGGAAGGAGCGUGUGGUCUGCAGCACCCAGUCCAGUCCGGCGAGCACCCACCCGCUGCGGCUCUGCACUGUCCCUCCAUCACCACACAUCACUGCCAGAGCCAGGGGUACACAUAGGACAAAGCUUCCCCUCCUCACUGGGAGCGCCAGGGCAGUGAUGUGAGCCUCAGGCUGGAGCAAUGAUGUGGGGAAGAAUUCCCUCUGGAAAACCAUCAUCAGCCUCUGUGGUGGUUUGCAAGCAAGGAAAAGACGCCCCAGCCUUCAUCCUGCCAGAGCUUUACUGUGAACGUGAGAAGUUUGGACAUAAGGAGUAUUUCUGGUGAUCGCGCCCUCAGAGCAAGAACCUCACCAAAUAUUUUUAAACACUUCCCAGCAGAAAGUGGGUGUAGAGAGAAAGCAGAGCACUGCAGGGGUGCUCAUUGCUCCUUUUUUGAGCCUUUCCUCUCUACAUUUGAGAUUUUAAACUCAAACAGCUUUUUUUUCUCCAGCCCCUUUUGCUGUUCCUUUGCCACAUCCAUCUGUGAAGCUGGCUGCUCAGCAGCGAGGGCUGACAAACCACUUUUUGAGCAGGGGUUGCUGCGAUGCUAUGGGAUUCCUAAAGAACCGUAAGAAAACAUCCACACAGCCAGUGCUUCACGCUGAGAAUGCUAAAACCCGGAUCCUCCAGCAAACAGAGGGAAAAACAUCUCAACAUCUGUGGGAAUACAGCCCAGCUGCUCGCAUGGCCUCGACGGGGGGCUGAGAAAGUGCCCAGAGGCACAUCUCAGGGCUGGGGGCAAUAGGAAAUGCAGGGAGAGGGAGGUCUGAGGUCUGCACCAGAGAAGAGCUUGCUGGGAGGAAACUCCCGACCUCGAGGAGGAAGAGAAGGAGAUGACUCACUGAGUCAGCCCUGUCCCGUGACCGGUGAGGUAAGCUCACAGCAGCCUGGUGAAAGCCUUAUUUUCUUUAUGUUUUGUAAAAGUGCAUGGUGCCACCACCAAAAAGCUGAGCGUGACUCAGCAUUCUCACCAGGAGGAGGGAAAUUCCCUCUGGCUUUUGGCUGCUUCCAUGCUUGCCAACUGGAUUAAAGUUCACAUGGAGGAAACCUGAGAUUUCUGAUUUUGAUUUGGUGCAUAGCCUGAUAAUUAUACAUGCAAUUAUAAAUUAUAAAUGAAUCUGAAGACACAAGUGGCUUGAAAAGACCCAGCAACUUGAGGACAACCCACUGUGCCUCAAACACCCAGGCAUGAUGGAGAGGGGAAUAAGCAAUCAGUCCUGUCUAGGAUGGCAGCAACCCUUCCUAAGGAAAGAAUGUGCUGGGGCUGUGUCCAAAAUGCAAGUCUCUGGCUCUAUAACUGAGACCAAAAGUGGCCGUCAGGGUCCUCAGAAACAGGACAUGAGAUAGACGCACUGGAGGUGCUGCUUGGCAAGACAGAACCAGCACUGGCAGUGUCCUGUGCUGCAUGUCCUGCUACCACUGGCCCUUCUUUUCAUUUUAUAGAGAAAAACCAUAAUCCAAUGAUGCCAAGCCAGUAACUUUCACCAACGCUUCCAGAAAUAAGAAUAAACACAGCAAAGAGGCAGAAGGGAAGGUGAGUGUGAUACACGUGCCCAAACUUUUCAAUAUCUCGUGCUGUAAAAGCUGGUGAAUCAUUCCCUGUGAUCAUCAUGCUUAAAUCUGAAUCUGUUUAUGUUUAAACUUUUACUCAUGGCUUCGCAGUGGAAUAUUGCCAUGUCAUACCUGGAAAUUGAAAUUCCAAGAAAAUACUAGAAAAGGUUUUAAGUUAAAAAGGGCAACCCUUUCAUUGUAAAUAGUGUUUUCCAGAGAAGUGAUGCCAUGUCAAAAUUGCCACACACAUGCCAAAAAUUUAGCUGGAUGGAAGGCCGAGUGUUUUAACAUACAUACUUCAGGUCAAGAAAUAAACUGCCUUCCCAUUGUGGCCAUUAAAACUUAUCCUUCUCUUAAUUGUAGAAGAUGGUAAA
rnacentral:lncRNA from 1 species